rnacentral:rRNA from 1 species
CAAAUGAAUUGACGGGGCCGCACAAGCGAGGACAUGUGGUUAAUCGAUGAUACGCGUAGGAACCUUACUGGGCUUAAAUGUAGAGUGCAUUUUUAGAGAUAGAAAUUCCCUUCGGGGCUUUCUGCAAGGUGCUGCAUGGUUGUCGUCAGCUCGUGCCGUGAGGUGUCGGGUUAAGUCCCAUAACGAGCGCAACCCUUAUCGUUAGUUGCCAUCUGGUAAUGCAGGGGACUCUAGCGAAACUGCCACCGUAAGGUGAGAGGAAGGUGGGGAUGACGUCAAAUCAGCACGGCCCUUAUGUCCAGGGCUACACACGUGUUACAAUGGUCGGUACAGAGGGCAGCUACCUGGUGACAGGAUGCUAAUCUCGAAAACCGGUCUCAGUUCGGAUCGAAGUCUGCAACUCGACUUCGUGAAGCUGGAUUCGCUAGUAAUCGCGCAUCAGCUAUGGCGCGGUGAAUACGUUCCCGGGCCUU